rnacentral:tRNA from 1 species
CCGGACAUAGCUCAGUUGGUAGUAGCGGUGGACUGUAGAUCCAUAGGUCGCUGGUUCAAGUCCGGCUGUCCGGA